UACAGAGGGGGCAAGCGUUGUUCGGAAUUACUGGGCGUAAAGGGCGCGUAGGCGGCCUUCUAAGUCGCACGUGAAAUCCCCGGGCUCAACCCGGGAACUGCGUCCGAGACUGGAAGGCUUGAAUCCGGGAGAGGGAUGUGGAAUUCCAGGUGUAGCGGUGAAAUGCGUAGAUAUCUGGAGGAACAUCGGUGGCGAAGGCGGCAUCCUGGACCGGUAUUGACGCUGAGGCGCGAAAGCCAGGGGAGCAAACGGG
rnacentral:rRNA from 1 species